CCCUUAGACGUUCUGGGCCGCACGCGCGCUACACUGACGAAGGCAACGAGCUUUCCUUUACCGAAAGGUACGGGUAAUCUUUUGAAACUUCGUCGUGCUGGGGAUAGAUCCUUGCAAUUUUUGAUCUUAAACGAGGAAUGCCUAGUAAGCGCGAGUCAUCAGCUCGUGCUGAUUACGUCCCUGCCCUUUGUACACACCGCCCGUCGCUCCUACCGAUUGAGUGAUUCGGUGAAUAAUUCGGACUGCAGCAUUGCUUGGAUUCCGAGCUUUGCAGCGGAAAGUUUAGUGAACCUCAUCACUUAGAGGAAGGAGAAGUCGUAACA
rnacentral:rRNA from 1 species